rnacentral:rRNA from 1 species
GACGAACGCUGGCGGCGUGCCUAAUACAUGCAAGUAGAACGCUGAAGAGAGGAGCUUGCUCUUCUUGGAUGAGUUGCGAACGGGUGAGUAACGCGUAGGUAACCUGCCUUGUAGCGGGGGAUAACUAUUGGAAACGAUAGCUAAUACCGCAUAACAAUGGAUGACACAUGUCAUUUAUUUGAAAGGGGCAAUUGCUCCACUACAAGAUGGACCUGCGUUGUAUUAGCUAGUAGGUGAGGUAAUGGCUCACCUAGGCGACGAUACAUAGCCGACCUGAGAGGGUGAUCGGCCACACUGGGACUGAGACACGGCCCAGACUCCUACGGGAGGCAGCAGUAGGGAAUCUUCGGCAAUGGGGGCAACCCUGACCGAGCAACGCCGCGUGAGUGAAGAAGGUUUUCGGAUCGUAAAGCUCUGUUGUAAGUCAAGAACGGGUGUGAGAGUGGAAAGUUCACACUGUGACGGUAGCUUACCAGAAAGGGACGG